rnacentral:rRNA from 1 species
UACGAAGGGGGCUAGCGUUGUUCGGAAUUACUGGGCGUAAAGCGCACGUAGGCGGAUCGAUCAGUCAGGGGUGAAAUCCCAGAGCUCAACUCUGGAACUGCCUUUGAUACUGUCGAUCUGGAGUAUGGAAGAGGUGAGUGGAAUUCCGAGUGUAGAGGUGAAAUUCGUAGAUAUUCGGAGGAACACCAGUGGCGAAGGCGGCUCACUGGUCCAUUACUGACGCUGGAGGUGACGAAAGCGUGGGGAGCGAACAGG